rnacentral:rRNA from 1 species
UCCUACGGGAGGCAGCAGUGAGGAAUAUUGGUCAAUGGUCGGAAGACUGAACCAGCCAAGUAGCGUGCAGGACGACGGCCCUACGGGUUGUAAACUGCUUUUAUGCGGGGAUAAAGUGGGGGACGCGUUCCCCUUUUGCAGGUACCGCAUGAAUAAGGACCGGCUAAUUCCGUGCCAGCAGCCGCGGUAAUACGGAAGGUCCGGGCGUUAUCCGGAUUUAUUGGGUUUAAAGGGAGCGUAGGCGGGAGCUUAAGCGUGCCGUGAAAUGCCGGUGCUCAACGUUGGCACUGCGGCGCGAACUGGGUUUCUUGAGUGCGUGGGAAGGCGGCGGAAUUCGUGGUGUAGCGGUGAAAUGCUUAGAUAUCACGAAGAACUCCGAUUGCGAAGGCAGCUGCCUGUUGCGCUACUGACGCUGAAGCUCGAAGGUGCGGGUAUCGAACAGGAUUAGAUACCCUGGUAGUCC